UGGGUAGUAGUUCAAUAGGUAGAACACUGGUCUCCAAAACCAGCAGUUAUGGGUUCAAUUCCUGUCUACUCAG
rnacentral:tRNA from 1 species